CCUACGGGUGGCUGCAGUGAGGAAUAUUGGUCAAUGGGCGCAAGCCUGAACCAGCCAAGUCGCGUGAGGGAUGACGGUCCUACGGAUUGUAAACCGCUUUUGUCGGGGAGCAAAGCGCGCCACGUGUGCCCCGAAGUAGAGUACCCGCAGACAAAGCAACGGCAAACUCCGUGCCUGCAGCCGCGGAAACAGGGGGGGUGCGAGGGUUAUCCGGAUUUAUUGGGUUAAAAGGGUGCUUAGCCGGCAGGUUAAGGCGGGGGGAAAAUGUUGGUGUACAACACGGGCCUGCCGUUGAAACUGGUGGUCUUGAGUGAGCGAGAGGUAGCCGGAAUGCGUGGUGUAGCGGUGAAAUGCAUAGAUAUCACGCAGAACUCCGAUUGCGAAGGCAGGAUACCGGAGCGCAACUGACGCUGAGGCACGAAAGCGUGGGGAUCGAACAGGAUUAGAUACCCUUGUAGUC
rnacentral:rRNA from 1 species